rnacentral:rRNA from 1 species
AUGGAGGAGGGGAGGAGGGGGACGAGGACGGUGCGGGUGCGGAACAUCUCAGAUCUGGCCGGGGAGAGGGAGGUGCGCGAGUUCUUCUCCUUCUCCGGCGAAAUCGACCACGUCGACAUCAGGCCUGACGGGGCGGCGGCGGGGAGGACGGCCUACGUCACCUUCAAGGACGCCAAGGCCCUGGAGAUCGCGCUGCUGCUCUCGGGAGCAACAAUUGUGGAUCGAGUUGUGAACAUAACCUCUGCUGAAGAUUACAUCUACAUCCCUGUUAAUGAACAGCAACUUGUGGUGAAUGAGGCGACAAGUACAGCUCCUACUGCAGAUUUGGAACAACCUACUGAGGCCAACACAAGCCCCACUAGUGUUUAUGCCAGCAAGGCUCAUGAUGUCAUGACAACUGUCAUCGCAAGGGGUUCAGCAAUUCGACAAGAUGCUGUGAACAAAGCUAAAUCAUUUGACGAGAAGCAUCAGUUAAGGGCUAAUGCAUCAGCUAGGAUCAGUUCCUUUGAUAGGCGUGUUGGCCUUUCAGAGAAGUUAAAUACUGGGAUAUCAGUCGUAAAUGAAAAGGUGAAGACUGUGGACCAAAGGUUACAUGUUUCUGACAAAACAAUGGCUGCUUUGCUGGCUGCAGAGCGCAAGCUAAACGAUACAGGCUCUGCUGUGAAAACUAACAGGUAUGUGUCUGCUGGAACAAGCUGGCUGAAUGGUGCCUUCAGCAAGGUUGCCAAGGCUGGUCAUGUUGCUGGCUCAAGAACAAGAGAAAAGUUCCAGAUAGCUGUGUCAAAUAUAUCAGCCAAAGGGCCAGCUGUCGUUGCUUGA